rnacentral:tRNA from 1 species
GAGGGUAUCGCUCAGUGGUAGAGCACUGUGUUUAGCAUGCACAAGGUCCUGGGUUCAAUCCCCAAUACCUCCA